rnacentral:rRNA from 1 species
CCUACGGGUGACAGCAGUGAGGAAUAUUGGUCAAUGGACGCAAGUCUGAACCAGCCAUGCCGCGUGCAGGAAGACGGCUCUAAGAGUUGUAAACUGCUUUUGUAAGAGGGUAAACGCAGAUACGCGUACCUGUCUGAAAGUAUCGUAUGAAUAAGGAUCGGCUAACUCCGUGCCAGCAGCCGCGGUAAUACGGAGGAUUCAAGCGUUAUCCGGAUUGAUUGGGUUUAAAGGGUGCGUAGGCGGUCGGAUAAGUUAGAGGUGAAAUCCCGCGGCUCAACUUCGGAAUUGCCUCUGAUACUGUUCGGCUAGAGGUUAGUUGCGGUAGGCGGAAUGUCUGGUGUAGCGGU